UUAUUCUCAUGCUUGAGCCCUCUAAUCUCCUACUUGAGACUCAUCACUUCAGCCGCCAAUGAUUCAACUUGACGGGUUCGGGCAAAUAGGCGUUGGGCCAUAUUAGACACGGAACUUGCGCACUGCACACUGAGAGCCAGAGAAUCCUUAACAGCCAACUCAUCAGACCGUUUGGCAAGUAGUCUGUUAUCUUUGGGAGUGACAAGGUUCUUGGCCACCACCGCAGCUGUCAUAUCAUUCUUCAUCACCGAAUCCCCAACGGUAAGGGGACCAGUAGGGGAUAUGAAGGAUGGGCGCCAUAUGUUGUCUGGAGAAGGCGGGACUGCCUCUUCACCAAGGUUCAAGUCAAAAUGACGGUCGGAGGGGCCAGACAUUUUCAGAGGUGUUAAAGAAAGAAGAGGUCAGACAAGUCAAGAUCGUAGAAGUGCAAGAAUGGAGUUUUUACAGGUAGAAAUUCAAGUGUGCUUUGAACGUCUUGCGUACCUCUAUAAAAAUCAGCACUCGAUGGGAUUUUAGAGAUCGAAGAGGCGAGCUCAUAAAUCGAAGAGGCCAACUCAAAAAUCAAAGAGGCGCUAGCUUUCUUAAAAGCUGGGCUUGCUCAGAAACCACGACCAAUCUUCUUUUCCAGAUUUGUCUGCACUUGUCACAUGCAACCUCUGCACUCGACGGGAUUUCAGAGAUCGAAGAGGCAAGCUCAGAAAUCAGAGAGGCAUCUGCUUUUCCAGACGUGUCAGCAUCUGUCACAUGCAGAGUCAGCUUUGCGAAAAUCACAGGCAGUUUGUCGAAGCGCUUUUCCAGACGUGUCAGCAUCUAUCACAUGCAGAGUCAGCUUUGCAGAAAUCACGGGCAGUUUGUCGAAGCGCCGAUUCCAGAUAUCGAAGAGGCACUUGUUUUUCCAGACGUGUCAGCGCCUGUCACAUGCACACUCAGCCUUGCGGAAAUUAUGGGCAAUCUGUCGAAGAUCUCUUGUGAAGUAGAAAGCACGUGAAGUUUACUAUUAAAUCAUCCAACGGUUGCUGACAAGAGUGAAAGAAUAGUACCUAUUAUUAAUUCCUAUAAAUGUCACCCCUCACCCUCCAUUGCAAGGCAGACAUACAUAACCCUUCUUCUUCUCCGAGAAUGCCUUUCCAACAAACCCUCUCGAGUUACUCAGUGUUCCUUAUUCCUUGAGGUACCUCUGCAAACAACUCAUCCAAAGCAAAAGUAUUUCAUAUCAUGAAGGUUGAAAGC
rnacentral:lncRNA from 1 species